UCUGAAGAAAUAAGAGUCGUCGCUUGUCGUGGCGUUGGAAGCCAGUCAUCGUUGGAAGCUGCUGCCUUGGAGAGGAGAGGAGAGGGGAGGAGAUCCGAUCAUUUCCAUAGUGCUGGUCAGCUGUUUGACGAAAUGCGGAUAUGGAGUAGGAACUGGGGUAACAUUUAUCUGAAAUCGGCGUGUCGCUUUCGGCUUGUGCAAUUGAUUUCUUUGUAUAUAGAUGAACGAUGACGAGAAAUACAACAGUGCAUUUUGCACCUCCCAGUCUCCUGUAUUUUUUGUUGUUAUCAGUAUCCCCGUCUCCUAAAUGUAAGGCUGCAAGAUAUACUCUGGAGAUUAUUUUACGUGUGGUUACAUUACUCUUUCGCUUUGAACAACGGCGAUGAAAUUGCUGGAUUAUUUGUCAAUCGGGGACGCCUGGCAAAUUUUCCUCUUCUCCUGCGACCAAGAACUCGCGGUAUAUAUCAUGGAGGUAAAUAUUAUGAGAGGAUUUUGGCUUUCUCUAACUGGAAUUCUGUUCUCACUUGACUAAUUAAGUCAAAAAGAUAAUAUUCGCUCCAGUAUCCGUUCAGACCUUUGAAGGGUCUCAUAAAAUCUCUUCUGUUGAGUUGCUGAUCUAUGUCCUCUUCAACUAUUAUGAUUGUUUAUCUUCUUCUGGAAUCACAGACUGAUGUUAAACUUCCACUUACCACGUCUAUGUGUCAUUUGGCCCUUGCUGUGGCUCUGCUGAGUUUGAACUUGGAAAGGUGUGCCCAGUACGGAAACCUCGUGCUUUAAAAAGGGCUUCAUGCUGUGUGGAAGGAUACAUCCACGUAAAAGCUGUAUUGUCGAGCCUGAACAAUUACAUAUGUUAUCUUUUGGAAUGCAGGAGCAUCCCAAGUGGCAAUUGAAGAGUGGGUGAAGAUGAUGGAUUUUCCAGUUGCCUUCUUCAGUUUCCACUCCUCAGGAAGCUUCGAAUUAUGAUGAGCUCUCCAUGAAACAGAGAGCUUGAACAUUCCGAAUAGCUGAAGUACCCAUCGGAACCAGAUGAUCCACUUCAAUAUAUACUCAUGCUGAGAGGAAUAGGAGAACUGAUAUCGAGCUUUAUUCAUGCAAAAACAAACGUCUCUUCAAGGCCUUGCUUAGCAUGCGGAAGUCAAAGAAAGGACAGCAAGUUAUCGAAGUUCCUGGACGAGAGCUAAGAAGAACAGGGGAUGAAAGAAAACGGAUAGGCCCAUUAUCACGGUUUCUUUGCACCGCAAGUAUGACCUAUACUGUAUUUGUUAUGGUAGCUUAAGCUAGCUUUAAGAUUUUCAGAAUAAUUUAAUGCAAUAAGAAACAGAAUGAAAAGAAAGUCCUGAUAAAAUUAAAUAAUUUCUACAAGGAAUUCCUUCGGAAGAUGGUUGCCGCUCUAUAGUCUACAAUUCGCUCUUGCCUGUUAUUCCAAACAGAGAAGGUAAAGAUUGAAGAAUGUUUAGAAAGCUGAGAUACUGUUUCCUCCUGGUAAUUAAGUAAUGAUAGGCUCACAAGCCACAAUUCACAAGACACAGCUAAGACCAGGCAACCUGGAAGGGACCAAUAAAAUUGCUUAAGCAGCUAUUUAUCAAAAUCACAGGCUGCUUUUCCCUCAGUUUGACUAAGGAGCUGCUGUUACAUGAUCUGCAUGCUAAGACACAGCUAAAACUGGGCAACCUUCAAUGGCCAGAUAUGUGUUAUCUAACGAAUAUCUAAAGUGAGCAUCUCUCUCGAUAGGAAUCAAACGAGUGUUGUGUACAAACGAACGGUCUAUGAUGCAACUUUGUCCUGCCAUAUAAAUAUUUGAAGACAUGAGAAGACACACAGAAUUAUUUCUGCUUCCUCAACUGAACUUCUUCACCAUGCUUUCACUUGUCUUUAAUUUAACUAAUAUCUCAGAUUGACACGGGUGGCCUCUUUCCAUUUCGAUAUGUAAACAUAGUGUACCUCAAUAUGUUGAAUGUCGCUGCAAAUACGUUGAUUAUGUUGUAUAACUAAAAU